GCCUCCUCGCGCCAUCAGACUCCUACGGGUGGCAGCAGGUGGGAAUCUUGCGCAAUGGAACGAAAGUCUGACGCAGCAACGCCGCGUGAGGGACGAAGGCUUUCUGUAGUUGUAACCUUCUUUCGACAGGAACGAUUGUGACGGUACCUGUAGAAGAAGCACCGGCCAACUAUGUGCCAGCCGCCGCGGUAAUUC
rnacentral:rRNA from 1 species